GUAGGGUGCAAGCGUUAAUCGGAAUUACUGGGCGUAAAGCGUGCGCAGGCGGUCCGCUAAGACAGAUGUGAAAUCCCCGGGCUUAACCUGGGAACUGCAUUUGUGACUGGCGGGCUAGAGUAUGGCAGAGGGGGGUAGAAUUCCACGUGUAGCAGUGAAAUGCGUAGAGAUGUGGAGGAAUACCGAUGGCGAAGGCAGCCCCGUGGGCCAAUACUGACGCUCAUGCACGAAAGCGUGGGGGGAGCAAACAGGAUUAGAUACCCUGGUAGUCCACGCCCUAAACGAUGUCAACUAGUUGUCGGGUCUUCAUUGACUUGGUAACGUAGCUAACGCGUGAAGUUGACCGCCUGGGAGUACGGUCGCAAGAUUA
rnacentral:rRNA from 1 species